AGCGCCGCUGCCUCUCGCCGCCUCGGCACCAGCAGUCGAUCUCCCGCUGUUGUUUGACCCAGCCAUAGCCUCCUUCGUCCCUCGCCCCCUCUCCCAUAGAUCACACGCCGUCGCGCUCCCCCAGCCCGACCUGACGCUGCCGCAACUCGCCCCCAGCCCGAACUCCGGCGUCGCCCGAAUCUGAUCCCCCGCCGGCCCUCCGGCCAUACCUCCACCGCCGCUCGACGCCGGUCUCCUCCCUACAGCGCAAGCUCCUCCGCCACCUGACGCCGAUCUGCCCCAGGCCAAGCUCCCCGGUCCCCUGACGCCGGUUGCAGCCCGACACCGCUCGCCCCAACGCCAGGCUCCGCCACCCGCAGAAUACUCUACUCGGACGACUCCUCUCUCGCUUCGCCGCCGACCAUGGCAACGACCUUGCCGACACACCUCUGCUGCUAGGAGCUUGUCCGCAGAGAAUUUGUGUAUCAAGAGAAGAGGAAACCGGGUAACUUAAAUUUGAUGGAUGAUGACGAUGAGGAUUUGAUUAGUAGACACUUUGCUGACUGGUUGGAACAAAAGAUGAUGGACUGGAUAUCACAGAAAAGAUAAGAGCAUUAGCCGCAAAACCAAGCAAAUCUGGGGUGCACUACAGCGGCUAUAUAAUUAAUGGUUUCAGAUUUCAUACUAUCAGCCAUGAUACAGGACGUGUGACACAAAAUAGUGGUGUCAUGAACCUUGCUGAAAAUGGUGUGUCCUAUUAUGGCCGGCUAUCUGACAUCUUCGAAUUGUCAUCCAGAGAUUACAAGGUGUUGUUCUUCAAAUGUGACUGGUAUGAUCAUCACAAAGCUGGUAUUGUAAGAGAUGAGUUUGGAUUCACUCAUGUGAACUUCUCCCGAAAAAUACAUAUAGGGGAGAAGUUAGAGGAUGAUCCUUUUGUAUUUUCUUCCCAAGUGGACCAGGUCUUUUAUAUCCAACAUCCGAGAAGUGAGAACUGGAAUACCAUGGUGAAAUUCAAACCUCGUUAUAUUUUUGACAUGGGUGGAGAACCAUCUUCAGAUGAAACAGACUAAUCUUUGUGCUUUCAGCUUGUUAUCGGCAGCUAAGAUAUAGGUUGAGCACUUGUCAUCCAUGCUCCUAGGUAGAGUUACUCCAACAUAAUUAUUGCAGCUGGGUGGAUCUUCUUCAGAAUGUAUUGAUCCCUGUGUUACUUUGUAAUGAACGAGCCUAUGGUCUUUUUUAAUGUGUAUGUUCCCUUUUGUUA